UAGGGAAUCUUCGGCAAUGGACGGAAGUCUGACCGAGCAACGCCGCUUGAGUGAAGAAGGUUUUCGGAUCGUAAAGCUCUGUUGUUAGAGAAGAACGCUGGUAGGAGUGGAAAAUCUACCAAGUGACGGUAACUAACCAGAAAGGGACGGCUAACUACGUGCCAGCAGCCGCGGUAAUACGUAGGUCCCGAGCGUUGUCCGGAUUUAUUGGGCGUAAAGCGAGCGCAGGCGGUUCUUUAAGUCUGAAGUUAAAGGCAGUGGCUUAACCAUUGUACGCUUUGGAAGCAGGAGGACUUGAGUGCCGAAGGGGAGAGUGGAAAUCCAUGUGGAGCGGUGAAAUGCGUAGAUAUAUGGAGGAACACCGGUGGCGAAAGCGGCUCUCUGGUCUGUAACUGACGCUGAGGCUCGAAAGCGUGGGGAGCAAACAGG
rnacentral:rRNA from 1 species